rnacentral:tRNA from 1 species
GGUAUAAUAGCUCAGUGGUAGAGUUUUAUGCUUAGCAUGUAUGAGGUCCUGGGUUCAAUCCCCAGUAUCUCCA